rnacentral:rRNA from 1 species
GACGAACGCUGGCGGCGUGCCUAAUACAUGCAAGUUGAGCGCUGAAGGUUGGUACUUGUACCGACUGGAUGAGCAGCGAACGGGUGAGUAACGCGUGGGGAAUCUGCCUUUGAGCGGGGGACAACAUUUGGAAACGAAUGCUAAUACCGCAUAAAAACUUUAAACACAAGUUUUAAGUUUGAAAGAUGCAAUUGCAUCACUCAAAGAUGAUCCCGCGUUGUAUUAGCUAGUUGGUGAGGUAAAGGCCCACCAAGGCGAUGAUACAUAGCCGACCUGAGAGGGUGGACGGCCAACUUGGGACUGGGACCCGGCCCAAACUCCUUCGGGGAGCAGCCAUAGGGAAUCUUCGGCAAUGGACGGAAGUCUGACCGGGCAACGCCGCGGGAGUGAAGGAGGUUUUCGGAUCGUAAAACUCUGUUGGUAGGGAAGAACGUUGGUGAGAGUGGAAAGCUCAUCAAGUGACGGUAACUACCCAGAAAGGGACGGCUAACUACGUG